rnacentral:lncRNA from 1 species
CUUGGUUCAAUGUGCAAAUCUAGUGUAACUUGAGGGACUAGGAUCAAAGUUUUAAAUAGCGUGCUAAGCAACUUAGCGGCAAACCUGAAAAUUGGUGCUAAAGCGGAGAUAGCAUGCUACUUGUAAAUUUUGCAUUUAGUGGCACACCUUGCCUGAAAUGCUAUAGCGCUGUUAAAGCGUGUUGUUUAAAACUUUGAUUGGGAUCCCACGUGUGGCAGAGUAAUUAACAUGGGGACACUGAUGAAGGACCCACAUUUCAGCAGCCCCACGUUAUUCUAUGGUGUGUCAAGAAAACACUUUGCUCGUUGCAUGCCACCAGCCCGAGUACUGCAUACGCCCCGUGAUAGUCAUGCAUGGCUUUGAGAGAUCAUAUAUAUUUUAGUGCGUUGUGUGGCCAUGCCAACAGUGACGUGCGCGAUCAUAGGCCAUGGGAGGGGAUAUAGAUAGAUCGUAAAAACUUAAGAAAAAAAAACUAAACUCAAGAACU